GCAAACUUGGUCAUUUAGAGGAAGUAAAAGUCGUAACAAGGUUUCCGUAGGUGAACCUGCGGAAGGAUCAUUAUUGAAUAUGCUUGAUAGGUUGUAGCUGGCUCUUUGGAGCAUGUGCACGCUUGUCUUGACUUUAUUCAUCCACCUGUGCACCUUUUGUAGUCUUGAGUGGAUAUCGGAGGAGACUCCGGAUGUGAGGACUGCUGUAUGGCUUUUCUCUAAAGGAUCUAGCUCGAGUACUAUGUAUUUCAUAUACUAGGAUGUUGUAGAAUGUGAUCAAUGGGAAUAAAUGAUAUACAACUUUCAGCAACGGAUCUCUUGGCUCUCGCAUCGAUGAAGAACGCAGC
rnacentral:misc_RNA from 1 species